AGGCAAGCUGGAGCAACUGGAGCUGGUGCGUCAUGCGUUGCCGAAAGGCGUUAGCGCCAUUUUUGUGACGCAGGCUGAAGCACUGGGUCUGGGCCACGCAGUUCUUUGCGCCAAGGCGGUGGUGGGUGAUGAGCCGUUCGCUGUGUUGCUGCCAGACGAUCUCAUCUGGAAUCGCGGCGCUGGUGCGCUGACGCAGAUGGCUGAUGUGGCAGAAGCCUCCGGUGGCAGUGUUAUCGCGGUCGAAGAUGUGCCGCACGACAUGACCGCGAGCUACGGCAUCGUGGCUACUGACGUGUUCGAUGGCCACAAGGGUCGCAUCACCGCCAUUGUUGAAAAGCCCAAGCCGGAAGUGGCGCCUAGCACUCUGGCCGUGGUCGGGCGCUAUGUGCUCAGCCCGAAAAUCUUCGAACUGCUCGAACAGACCGAUGCAGGAGCGGGUGGAGAAAUUCAAUUGACUGAUGCGAUUGCUGGGCUGCUGCAGCAGGAAACUGUCGAUGCGUAUCGUUUCGAGGGCCGUCGCUUCGAUUGCGGCGCGCAUAUUGGUCUGAUCGAGGCUACGGUGCACUUCGCGCUUGAGCACAAGAAGCAUGGGGGACUUGCGAAGGAAAUCCUGCGCGCUGCGUUGGCCGAGGCAGACGCUCGCAGCUGAUUGCCUCGCACCGUUUGCAUCCACGAACGACGCCACCUGGCGUCGUUCGUCGUUUUGGGGCGUCACUGAUCAGGGCCGAUCUGCUGUUUGGGAUCGAUCCAACAGGGACGACUGAUCGACAGACGCGCAUCCAGGUGCAGGCCAGUGCAGAGCGUGUACGGCUGGGAUCCCUGGCAUGAGCAGCCUGCCGAAUACAGUGAAUUGAUCAACGUGGUGGCCCUGCUGGGCGCUGCCGUGGUUGCGAUUCUGCUAUUUCGUCGCCUCGGCCUGGACUCGGUGCUCGGUCACCUGGGCGCCGGAUUGGCUAUUGGCCCAUUCGGGCUGGGCUUGUUCGACGAGCCGCAGGCGAUCUUGCAUGCGUUCGAAUUGGACGUGUUGAUGUUCCUGUUCUUGUUCGGGCUGCAAACGCAGCCGUCGCAUCUGUGGAGUUUUUGCAAAUAGAUCUUCGGUCUGGGCACUGUGCAGAUCGUGGUCUGCGCGACGUCCCUCCGAUUUUGAGUAGCGCCUCAGUUUGGAGUCCAAUUCCCUACCCCGAGGAGAUUGUAGGUGUACCGGGCGUUGGUUGUCCCGGGGAAAGGCGGUAGGUUUGAAUCUUUGGCAAAUCCGGGAUUCUUUAAGACCGAGCACCGAGACGAGCCUUUAUGGCAAAGUCACUGAUACCACGCUUCCAGGAAAAGCUUCUAAGCUUCAGCUCACGAAGACCGUACCGUAAACCGACACAGGUGGGUAGGAUGAGAAUUCUCAGGCGCUUGAGAGAACUCGGGUGAAGGAACUAGGCAACAUGGCACCGUAACUUCGGGAGAAGGUGCACCCUUUUUGGUGGCUCAUGCGAGCUAUAGCUGAAGAGGGUCGCAGAAACCAGGCCGCUGCGACUGUUUAUCAAAAACACAGCACUCUGCAAACACGAAAGUGGACGUAUAGGGUGUGACGCCUGCCCGGUGCUGGAAGGUUAAUUGAUGGGGUCAGCCGCAAGGCGAAGCUCUUGAUCGAAGCCCCAGUAAACGGCGGCCGUAACUAUAACGGUCCUAAGGUAGCGAAAUUCCUUGUCGGGUAAGUUCCGACCUGCACGAAUGGCGUAACGACAGCGGCGCUGUCUCCACCCGAGACUCAGUGAAAUUGAAAUCGCUGUGAAGAUGCAGCGUUCCCGUGGCAAGACGGAAAGACCCCGUGAACCUUUACUAUAGCUUUACACUGAACGUUGAGUUCGUCUGUGUAGGAUAGGUGGGAGGCUAUGAAACUGUGGCGCUAGCUGCAGUGGAGCCAUCCUUGAAAUACCACCCUGUCGUGCUUGACGUUCUAACCUAGAUCCGUUAUCCGGAUCAGGGACCGUGUAUGGUGGGUAGUUUGACUGGGGCGGUCUCCUCCUAAAGAGUAACGGAGGAGCACGAAGGUACGCUCAGCGCGGUCGGACAUCGCGCACUGUGUGCAAAGGCAUAAGCGUGCUUGACUGCAAGAUCGACGGAUCAAGCAGGUACGAAAGUAGGUCUUAGUGAUCCGGUGGUUCUGUAUGGAAGGGCCAUCGCUCAACGGAUAAAAGGUACUCCGGGGAUAACAGGCUGAUACCGCCCAAGAGUUCAUAUCGACGGCGGUGUUUGGCACCUCGAUGUCGGCUCAUCACAUCCUGGGGCUGUAGUCGGUCCCAAGGGUAUGGCUGUUCGCCAUUUAAAGUGGUACGCGAGCUGGGUUCAGAACGUCGUGAGACAGUUCGGUCCCUAUCUGCCAUGGGCGUUGGAAGUUUGAGAGGGGCUGCUCCUAGUACGAGAGGACCGGAGUGGACGAACCUCUGGUGUUCCGGUUGUCACGCCAGUGGCAUUGCCGGGUAGCUAUGUUCGGAAGCGAUAACCGCUGAAAGCAUCUAAGCGGGAAGCGCGCCUCAAGAUGAGACUUCCCGGGGCACAAGCCCCCUAAAGGAACCAUGUAGACUACGUGGUUGAUAGGUCAGGUGUGUAAGUACAGCAAUGUAUUGAGCUAACUGAUACUAAUGAUCCGUGCGGCUUGACC
rnacentral:rRNA from 1 species